UGCAGGUCGGUGUUCUUCAACUAUCACCUCCAUUAUAGCUUCGUCCCGUUAUGACUCAUGCAUCGGCGGCUAGCUCCUCCCCAACCCUCUCCCCAGCAGUCGUCGGAUUUGGGCGCGCUGGCAUCGUCGGCCGGAUGGGUGUCCUGGGAGCUACGGCCAGAUCGUGGCAGGCGGCGGAGGGACUUCAACUGUGGGAUUUGAGGCUGGAUGGGGUGUCACUGAGUCCUUGAGGAUCGCGCUCUUGGACCUGGCGACUGCUCUAGAGCGACCAGACCGGCCGGCUCCGUGGGGAUGGGCAAUUUUUUAGGCCGGCAUGGAGCUGUGAACGCUGUUGAGGUUCUGCUCCUUUUCCAGAUUGAUGAGUUGCUUGGUUAUUUGACCGAUCGAAGGCAACAAAUUAGAUUUGAUUCGUCAUGUUUGGUGCAUACCCUGUGUCAGGAUCUAAUUAUUUCCUUGGAUGGUUGCAGGCCAGUGGAAUCCUAGGCGAGGGGACCAGAAUGUGCCAAUAAAGAAUGGAAAAAAAUUGAUCAUAUGUUAGGGUUUGGUUCCAUGUUCAUUUGUACUUUCUAGCUAUUCCUUUGUCUUUAAUCGCUUCGACCAGUUUAGUUUUUCUAACAUUGGCAUCACAAGUUUCAGUUAAGCACCCAGAAUUUUUAUGCAGUACCAGUUGUUCUUAGCAUAUCAAUUUCUAUUUUGUGCCCAAUUGGAUCCAUUUUAUUUCUACAUGUUAAUUAUAUCCCUUUUCUUCUUUGCCAUUCUAGCAGCACUACAGGUUAGUACCUCUCAAUGCAGUUGGUAGGGAACAUGUAGGCUUCUGGAUUGUUUUGCGGCGCUGCUAGGUUUGGUUGUUCCACAACUUGAUUUUGCGGUGUAGCUGCUCACUUAAUAGUUUUCAUGAAAACACUUCUUUUUUGUAGGAUCGUUUGCCAAAACAUCUGAAUAACUAGAUAAGUGAAUAGCUAGAUACUGAAAGAGAUGGUAUAUUUUGUCAGUGCACAUUUUAUAGUAGUUCUAUAGAAUGUUAGGUUGAUAUGUUUUUUGGUAUGUAGCUAAUUGAUUGUAUUGAUCCCCUGUUCCAUGUUCAAAUUGUUUCAGGUUGAUUCUAGAACUACAGCCUUCAUUCUUUCGAGCAUAUUUUUCUUCUCUUCAAGCGCAGAUUCAUGAAAGAAAAAAAAUCGAACAUGCCUUUUUUACUGUAUUUAUGCUUGGUUGUUGUGGGACUGAUGUGAUGCCAAUGCACACUCAUAUAUGUAAUUUGCUUCCAGUUUUCAUACACUAAUAAAUGCAUUCUAAUUAUUGUUACUAAAAUUUCAUGAUUAUUACCGUAAUUCUAAAUAUUGUUUAGGUUAACUCACACUCUUACUAUUGUUAGCCGAAAAAAAUUAUCACUAUUAAUUUAGUUGCAUUUACUCUACACAACUCUGAUUUUGUCUGGUUAGGUUAAAUCUUAAAUCUCAAUAUGAGUAACUUCUAUCAUUCACAUUUGUUUUAAUUUUUAAAUAUGUUUGCUUUGCUGGAAUCGUCAACCACUAUUAAGCCAAUUUCGAGUUAUUUGUCCCCUUCGUGAAGCAGCGGCAGACUUCACUAGAUAGUUCACAUAAGGAAAGUUCUUGCUGCAAGAAUUGUCAUCAAAGUGAGGUCUUAGCUUUGGUAUGUAUUAAAAUCUCUACGUUCCCCUCCGGGUCGUUUUUCGUUUGGUAAAUCAUUGACUGGAAAAGUCGCCAAAGUCAGCAGUUAUGCUUAGAUUGUGGAUCAGCAAAGACAGUUCACCAAUUAUUUUCCUCUCUUCCUUACUAAUUGGUACUACUUCAUAUGUCGAAGGUAGUUUAUAAUAACGAUGCAUGUCCUAUAGUGUCAAUUGCUAAGAAAGCAACUAUUAGUAUAGAUACUUUAUCCCACUCUCUGUUACUUCCAGCAACCAUUGCAUGGGGUUCACAUGUUAAAAACAUGGAUAUGCAUUUGGCUAUUAUGUUUCUCUGUUGACUCAAUUGGCCAUCUACCAAUAUGAGCAUAUCAUCUCACUUAAGGAGAUCUUCCAUUUGCUUCAGAAUGUUUGUUAGUGUUUUGGUUCAGUAUUUUGUGUAUUUCUAGAGAUCUAUAACUUGUCUCCCUAUGUUAUUGUUUUCUGAUAGGAAUCCAUUUCUUUGUUAAUUCACUUCCAAGUUAAUAUAUUAUAGGUUGUCUUAUUGCUUACAGAGUAUUUUGCUCCUGUUGCUUGAUCCAGUUUCCUUAGCUAAAAUUUUCACGUGACUUGCAACACUUUGGUCCUGAUGAGAACAAGGGAGAUGAGAAAGCAUAU